UGAUAUGAGGGCAGUUUGUGAUAUUUGUCACUCCUUUGAUCUCCAGGAUUGAUUCAGCUGAUCUGGCUGGCUAGGCUGGUUUCUCCUAUCCCUCACUACUCAAUGUGUGUUCUUCACAAAGGUGUAUGCUGGGUUAAAGAUAACUUUCUCCUAUUGAGGAUAUUGAGGAGAAUCAAUCUUUGGUCAAGGAUAUUUAUUUGAUUUGCUGCACCCUGUGCUGGAACCUCCAUACAAGCUCUUAUAAUUCAUUUGUAGGAGAAUGUAGUCAAGCUUCCAAACUCCAGAUAUAACCAAAUGUGGUGCUAUUUGUGGCAGUCGGCCUUUCUUU
rnacentral:snRNA from 2 species